rnacentral:lncRNA from 1 species
CAGAUACCUGCCUGGCGGGGCAUCUGCAGAUCCCCUCGGUCAGGGGCUGCCCCGCCUGGGCUGUUCGGAGCAGCUCCUCUGUAGGGCAGGGCCUGACCUCACCCGACACCCCAGUGGCUUCAGCUCCCUGCCCAGCGCACGGGCUGCCUCCAUCAGGGCACUUAAGUAGGGUCAAGGUUUGCGCCGACUCCGUCUCCCAGAAAUCAACAUGGACCAGGCCCACUUAAAAAAUAUGCAUUAGUCGAAGACAGACGUCUCGUCCAUAGGUCCCAGACUCUGUCCACAACGCAGGGCUUCUCUUUGUGGGCCUGAAAGAGCACACGUCAGGCAAGACACGAGGGCAACUUCAGAGACACUGCUCAGGGCCACGGAGAAUUCUCGAAGUCUGACUCCAGUCCCGGCACCACUCCAUCUUCCAGAGAUCUCCAGGGGUCCAGAAAUAACACCUCACAGCCUUCCAAGCUUCCCAAGGAUCUAGAGACUCCUUAUCUCGCAGCGCAAACCUCAGGCAACUACAGGUCUUCCCUGCACCUCUGAGGUGCCCCUCCCCCCACUCAAGGUUCCAGAAAAAAUCCAUGCCCUCGGAAACCCCAGAAUCUUACUUUCCCGAGGCACCCCCAGGACCCCAGGGUCAUCAGUUCACAGGGCUGUUAGUGCUCCCAUAAAACUCUAGCCUCCCAGAGGGACCCCAGCCCCCACCCUCCCGCCCACGAAACCCUACAUUUCCAGAAUCAGCCCCAGGGCCCCAACCCCCCCAAGCCCCCAUUUCACAACACGCUGGCGCUACAGGCGCGUGACUUCCCCUUGCUUUGGGGCGG